UACGUAGGGUGCAAGCGUUAAUCGGAAUUACUGGGCGUAAAGCGUGCGCAGGCGGUUAUGCAAGACAGAUGUGAAAUCCCCGGGCUCAACCUGGGAACUGCAUUUGUGACUGUAUAGCUAGAGUACGGUAGAGGGGGAUGGAAUUCCGCGUGUAGCAGUGAAAUGCGUAGAUAUGCGGAGGAACACCGAUGGCGAAGGCAAUCCCCUGGACCUGUACUGACGUUCAUGCACGAAAGCGUGGGGAGCAAACAGG
rnacentral:rRNA from 1 species